rnacentral:rRNA from 1 species
GUAGGUGGCAAGCGUUGUCCGGAAUUAUUGGGCGUAAAGCGCGCGCAGGCGGUUCUUUAAGUCUGAUGUGAAAGCCCACGGCUCAACCGUGGAGGGUCAUUGGAAACUGGAGAACUUGAGUACAGAAGAGGAAAGCGGAAUUCCACGUGUAGCGGUGAGAUGCGUAGAGAUGUGGAGGAACACCAGUGGCGAAGGCGGCUUUCUGGUCUGUAACUGACGCUGAGGCGCGAAAGCGUGGGGGAGCAAACAGGAUUAGAUACCCUGGUAGUCCACGCCGUAAACGAUGAGUGCUAAGUGUUAGGGGGUUUCCGCCCCUUAGUGCUGCAGCUAACGCAUUAAGCACUCCCGCCCUGGGUAGUACGGCCGCAAGGCUG